rnacentral:misc_RNA from 1 species
GCACCAUUGAAGUUUACAUUGAAACUCCCUUUAUUCGGAGACAUCUAAGAAGUUGGAAAUCGAAUAAAAGAGAGAUUUGGGUUAGUACAUCGAAGAAAGCUGCCAAAUAGACAAGGAAACCAUGCAUAAUUCUCCCAAUGCCUCAACCUCAAUCCCAAGUCUUAAGACAUCGAGUAGCACUACCCAUCAAAACCACAUCCAUUAGACAAAGAUAAAACUAUACAAGAGAGUAGAAACCAACGGCCUACUGUUCAUGUUCUAUGGAUUCCUCAUGUUCUACUCUUACCAUAAGAGUAUUUCUACCGAUUUUCCUUUUCAUUCAGGCAUUAACCCAACUUGAUGUAGCGAAUAUAUUUGGGGAGAGA